rnacentral:lncRNA from 1 species
UUACCAACAAGAAUUUAUGGCGAGGAGGCACUCUUGUGCACCCUUUGCAAUACAAAGGUACUCAGCUCCAACCAGAAUAUAUCAUACUCUAGAGUUCGAACUUCAGAUGCAUUUUAUCCUUUUGUUAUACUCAUGGCGUUCUAAAAAUGGAUGCAAUGCAAAUGCUAUGUAUUACUCAAUGAUGUCGCAUACUGGUUUCACUUCAUAUCUUUUACAAGUACAGUUUUCUACUUUUUUCUGCAGAAUUACUACAUGGUUGUCUUGAAGUAAAUAUCAAUUAUGUCAACCGAUAUGUUGUUUUAUAACAAUAGACCUUCAAUAUUAUUUCUGCCUCGGGUUCUAGACGAGGACAGCUAAUUAAGAGAAAACUUUGGUGGGAUAGAGACAGAAGUUUGCUAUAUUUCACAAAACCCAAACAGAAUUUCAUUGCUGAUUCUUCUGCCCUGAACUUUGCUCUUGCCAAUUACAUUUUGUGUAUCCUUUUUAAGGAAACUGCUUCGUUUACACCAUCCUAUUGGCAUGUCUAUUAGCAGUAAUGAAAUUGCCCGGGCCCCCCGUGCCGCCGUCUCCGCCGCGAGAUUGGAUUUCUGUCGGGCACCCUUGCCACUUUGUUCUCCUAUCCCACUGUCUGAGCUGCUGGGAUCCUCAGCAGCGCAGGUUUUUCUAGGCUAUCAAGUGAUCGCUCCAUGGAUGGGUGGGUGGCUGUGGAUUACAGGUCGUCGGCGGCGGAUCUGGAGACGCGGAUGCUCCUGCACAACGCGGCGUCCAUGGAGUCCCCUUGUCUGUCAAGGAACCGGUCGUCGUUCCACCCCCUCCCCUUCCCCGAACACCAUCGUCGCUCCUCUGCGUGGCGUCUCUCGCUUGUCGCUACCAUCCAUGAGGAGAAUCCAUCGUCAAAGGUCGCCGUACAGGGACUCUGUUGCUUUCUGCAGAACCGCCACUCCUGCCACCUCCAGGAAAGCAUUUGUACGCAGAUGGGUUAUAUCUAAUAACUUGUAUGUACAUGCCUCUAUUUUUGUGUCCAUUCGAUCAUCAUUUCACCCUGAUAUAGUUAUUCUUUCUACUUUCAUUGAUUCUUUCGUGGUUUCUUGUCAUCUUGUGCCCUUUGACAAUUGGGUUUUUCUCUGUUAUUCUUUGUAGGGGAUUUGCUCUAAGUUCUGUUGAUAGUGAUGAUGAGUUGAUAGAGCAUACCUUUUUGCCUGCUAUUGUAUAGUCACAAAAUUUCCAUGGUGUGCAUGGGGGUACUUUUUCAGUGAACCCAUCACUUAUACUGCAUACUGGAAAAAGGUAUCUAUAGCUUUUAGGUAAUGUCUAUUUCAAUCAUCAGAAGACAUAUUGAAUAUAUGUUCCUUUGUGCACCGAAACAAUCCCAUAAAAAAACAAACUACUUCCCUAUAUUGUGAUUCUUCCCAUAGUUGUUUGCUCCCUGGAAACAAAGGCCGAGGCAACAUAUUUUACCGUGUAUACAAUGAUCUUGCUUUUAAAACUAAUAAUAUAUACUUAUGAUCUCUUCUACAUGUUUGUUUUCUAAUCCCUAUUUUCAUGUUUUUGAGGCAUGUUAGCUAUCUUCCAGUAAUAUAUUUAGUGUUAUCCAGUAAGUUUUUUGAGGCAUGUGUGUUACUCAAAGAAAAAGGUGUGUCAGUCUCAGUGAUACCCUUUGAAUUUUUGAACAAUUGCCACUGCUAAGGUGAUUUUUUUUUGGAAACCACUGCUAAGGUGAUUGGAAAUUGCUUUGUACACAUUCUACUAGGCUCGUUUUCUGUGAUUGUACACAUUCUACUAGGCUCAUUUUCUGUGAAUCCCUACAAUCUGAGGAAUGAAGUGAAGGGAAGACGUGAGGAGAAAGCUCUACCUUCACAGGAGACAAGAUCCGUGCCGGGAAUUCGGAUGUGCUUGUAUGUUACUGUAGAGCGACCAUUUCAGGGUGGAUGUUGAUGAUCUCAGAUUGAUUCGAUGCUGCAGCGAGGUAAAGUUGCUAUUUACUUCUCAAGUUCGGACUUGCGUAUCAAACAAACAUAACUUGGCAGCAAGGUUAACAUCUAGGAAAAAUUAUGUGUGUGUGCGCGCGUGCAUCGUGCAUCCGUCAGUGUCGAUUCAUUCAAAUAUUGAUAAGUAUACGAGCAUGUAGGCAAAUGAUGUCAAGACAAUUCAAGAGGCAUGUCAGACUGGGUGGUGUCGGCCGUGUCGCCUGCUCGUCCUCGUUGCUUGUUGGUGUGUUUCUAGGGGACAAUGCUUUGUUUGGAUACCAAAAAGAAAAAUAGUACACAUAGAGAGACUUUCUUAGUUGCAGAGUAACAACAUAUAAGGGUGCAUCUUUUGACCAUUUAAUGAAUCAGAGUUUUAAGUAAAGAGACUAACUCGUCAACUGGAGAGUGAGAUACUAAUUGCUUUCUUUGUAGUGAAGAUGGCCCCUUUUGGGGUGAGACACAACUAUAGUUGCACAGCUAAAGUUCCUAUAUUGCAAAGGCUAUAACUCCUUGUCCUUUGUAGUUUGGAUUUUGGAAUAAUUAUCCUAGAUAGAUGCUAGAAUGGGAGAAAUAUAGUAAAACACAAAUUUAGCAAUGGACAUGCAUGUCUUUUAACGCUGCAGCUUGCUUAUAUUGUUUGUGUUUUUAUCUGGUAUGGGCUUGUAAGCAUGCCGUCGUCAGAAGGAAUCCAUCGUUUUGUCAAAAUAUUGGAUGUAUAACUAAUUCCAUGUUUGUGUUUUCAGCUGGGAUGGGCUUGCACUAAUGAUGUAUUAAAACAUUGAUAUGAUGGCAGGAAGAUCCAAGAUGCUACUGUAUGGUUCUUGCGUUAACCCUCUUGUAGAUAUUGAAAUGCAUGAAAGUCACAUUAGAUUAUGUAUUGAAACAUAUACAAAGUUAAAAUAAUGAGCGAGUCUUUCUUAUUAUGUUUCGCCAUUUUGCAUAAUUUUGGUUUAUCUUCUAACUUUUUUCUUCUAGCCCUUUGUUUCUCCCAUAUCAACCUAAAGAAGUUGAUCCAAUGACAACAUAAAUAAGUUGCUUGGCAUGGUAGUUUAUCCUUCCCAUUAUUUGAGGAUUAGAGCUUGAAAUAAUUCUCUAGCAAAGGUAAGAUAGCUAGGAAGUUGGAAUUUCACAAAGUAGCUACAAUUUUUUAAGUGUGCUUCUUUGGUCCUGAAAUAUGUCUUAUCUUGUGUGAUUUCGCUCAGUUUCUAUUCUAAAAAGCAAAAUGCUUCA